rnacentral:rRNA from 1 species
AACGAACGCUGGCGGCGUGCCUAACACAUGCAAGUCGUGCGAGAAAGUCUCCUUCGGGAGGCAAGUAAAGCGGCGCACGGGUGAGUAACACGUGGGUAACCUGCCUUUGAGACUGGGACCAACCCAGGGAAACCCGGGCUAAUACCAGAUACGGCCUCGAGAUCUUCGGAUCCUGAGGAGAAAUGAUGGCCUCUGCUUGCAAGCCAUCGCUCGAAGAUGGGCCCGCGGCCCAUUAGCUAGUUGGUGAGGUAACGGCUCACCAAGGCAAUGAUGGGUAGCUGGUCUGAGAGGAUGAUCAGCCACACUGGGACUGAGACACGGCCCAGACUCCUACGGGUGGCAG